rnacentral:rRNA from 1 species
AUUGAACGCUGGCGGCAGGCCUAACACAUGCAAGUCGAACGGUAACAGGCAGAAGCUUGCUUCUUUGCUGACGAGUGGCGGACGGGUGAGUAAUGUCUGGGAAACUGCCUGAUGGAGGGGGAUAACUACUGGAAACGGUAGCUACUACCGCAUAACGUCGGAAGAACAAAGAGGGGGAGAUUGGGGAGGUUGGGUGGAGGGUGGGAUCAGAUGGGCUUAGCUUGUAGGUGGGGUUAUGUUUCAAAUAGGCGACGAUCUCCAGGUGGUCUGAGAGGAUGACCAGCCACACUGGAACUGGGACACGGUCCAGACUCCUACGGGAGGCAGCAGUGGAGAAUCUUACACACUAGUCACAAACCUUAUACAACCAUAGCAAGUAUAUUAAGAAGGCCUUCGGGUUGUAAAGUACUUUCAGCGGGGAGGAAAAUAGUAAACUUAAUACCUUUCCUCAUUAACUUUCCCCUCAAAAAAACCACCGGCUAACUCCCUG